UACGUAGGGUGCGAGCGUUGUCCGGAAUUAUUGGGCGUAAAGGGCUCGUAGGCGGUCUGUCGCGUCGGGAGUGAAAACUCGGGGCUUAACUCCGAGCCUGCUUCUGAUACGGGCAGACUAGAGGUAUGCAGGGGAGAAUGGAAUUCCUGGUGUAGCGGUGAAAUGCGCAGAUAUCAGGAGGAACACCGGUGGCGAAGGCGGUUCUCUGGGCCGAUACUGACGCUGAGGAGCGAAAGCGUGGGGAGCAAACAGG
rnacentral:rRNA from 1 species